rnacentral:rRNA from 1 species
GCAGUCGAGCGAAUGGAUUAAGAGCUUGCUCUUAUGAAGUUAGCGGCGGACGGGUGAGUAACACGUGGGUAACCUGCCCAUAAGACUGGGAUAACUCCGGGAAACCGGGGCUAAUACCGGAUAAUAUUUUGAACCGCAUGGUUCGAAAUUGAAAGGCGGCUUCGGCUGUCACUUAUGGAUGGACCCGCGUCGCAUUAGCUAGUUGGUGAGGUAACGGCUCACCAAGGCAACGAUGCGUAGCCGACCUGAGAGGGUGAUCGGCCACACUGGGACUGAGACACGGCCCAGACUCCUACGGGAGGCAGCAGUAGGGAAUCUUCCGCAAUGGACGAAAGUCUGACGGAGCAACGCCGCGUGAGUGAUGAAGGCUUUCGGGUCGUAAAACUCUGUUGUUAGGGAAGAACAAGUGCUAGUUGAAUAAGCUGGCACCUUGACGGUACCUAACCAGAAAGCCACGGCUAACUACGUGCCAGCAGCCGCGGUAAUACGUAGGUGGCAAGCGUUAUCCGGAAUUAUUGGGCGUAAAGCGCGCGCAGGUGGUUUCUUAAGUCUGAUGUGAAAGCCCACGGCUCAACCGUGGAGGGUCAUUGGAAACUGGGAGACUUGAGUGCAGAAGAGGAAAGUGGAAUUCCAUGUGUAGCGGUGAAAUGCGUAGAGAUAUGGAGGAACACCAGUGGCGAAGGCGACUUUCUGGUCUGUAACUGACACUGAGGCGCGAA